GCCCCAUUCAAGCCAACCAUAUUCUACCAAGACUUCGGCUAUGGUCUCUGUACUCUACUUUCUCCAAGAUCUUUUCUUCACGAAGGACCCAGCCUUUAUCCUGUUUGGUUUUCCCCAAAGCAAGUAGCUUACCUGGUGAAAGGUAAUACAAGCAGACACUAGCUGUCAAUCUAACUAAAACGUAGGCUCUUUCAGACCAGGGAUCUUGUCUUGUUCAGUACUUUGGUCUCUAUGGUGCCAAAAAGAGUGACAUGCACGUGUAAUGUAACUCUGGCACUCCAGGAAAACCUUUAUAAAUGAAAGAGCAAGAAAUAGAUUGUGGGGGAAUUGCUUAAGAAGUUCAGGAGUGAAAGUAGCUUGGACUAUGGUGAUGGUGGUAGAAAGAAAAGCAAUCAAAUGUAAAAGAGUUUGGAGGUAAAAUACUCAGAACUGCUGACAGAUUGGAUAGCAGGCAUGAGGAAAGGGACAGUGAUAUGAUUUGGUUGGUUCGUCACCUAGAUCUCAUCUUGAAUUGUAGCUCCCAUAAUCCCCACGUGUUGUGGGAGGGACCUGAUGGGAAGUAAUGGAAUCAUGAGGUUCCUGUGCUGUUCUCAUGACAGUGAGUAAGUCUCACGAGAUCUGAUGGUUUUAUAAAGGGUAGUUCCCCUGCACUCCUGUUAAGAAGGACAUGUUUGCUUCCCUUUCCACCAUAUUGGUAAGUUUCCUGAGGUCUCCACAGCCAUGCUAAACUGUGAGUCAAUUAAACCUCUUUCCUUUAUUAAUUACCCAGUGUUUGGUAUGUCUUUAUUAGCAGCAUGAUAACAGACUAAUACAGAAAGUGUUAGGAGCCAGGUAUAAAAACGGGAUAGAUCGCUGUGCCCUUGACUGAGAUAGAGUACAUUGAAACGUGUCCAGGAUGUGGGAUGGGAGACAGCCAGGUAGUGGAAGGUGGAAGGUGACUUUCACAAUCAAUUUCUUUCCAGAGAGAAGACUGUUCUCUGGUCAAGUUUGUGCUUCUGGGAACAUCUCAUCAAACGUCCUGCCAGCGGGCUUAGUACUGGAAUUUGAAUAUGGGCUUCUCUUUUCAUCAACCAGCUGUGUUGCUGUCAGCUUUUAUCUCGGGCUGGACACUUUGGAGUGUUUAACUGAAAGUGAUGAAAGGCACCAGGGGAGCCAGAAGAGCAGAAGAGGUGACAGCUGACCAGAAAGAGACUGGCUCUGCAGCCUGGGCAACCUGUCAUGGAAAGGUACUGCAGCUGCAGGCCUCAGAGCUGUCCAGAAUUACUCUCAUGAACAUGUUUGGGAAAGAAGUUAUGAAGUAGAGGCAAGAGUGUGUUACAGAACUGCUUAAUCCCAUUGCCUGAGCCUUCCAGCCUGGAGAUUAUCCAUCAUGUGACUAAGAAUGAGAUGACACCUGUACAGAUACACGAUUUGCCUCUCAGCUGUUUAGCUGUUUCUAUAAGAAGCCUGAGCCGUUAAGGUACUCUCAGGGCAGGAAUGACCUAGAAGAGAUGGAAUAUAAGCUCAAGACAAUAAGAUGGGGGCCUGGUCAAACACCCUUCCUUAUGUGAACUAGGAAUCUUGGUUAUAGCCCAUGUUUUUCCUUCUUCUCCAAACCCAGGUGAUGAUUUUGGUUUAAGAGCCUCAUCUAUGAGAAAUUCCAUAUCAAAAUUAUUGCAGGGAGAAUAGACCUCUUCCAUUAUCUAGAACAAAAGUUAGUAUUUUCCCCUAUGUCUUCUCUUUUCUUUCUUCUGUACUUCCUAUUACUUUUGGUGCUGUAGAAAAAUUUCUCUGUCCAAAAAGACGUGAAAUAUUUCAGACAUAUUUUACCAAGGGUGUGUGUAGCACACAUCAACUUGCUUGAGCUUCUCUGAUAUAUAGCCAAUGUUUUAAUGUUCCCAUUUAGCCAAUCCAUAAUACAUCUUCACAGUGUUGGCCUAAUCACAAAUGACAAGGGUGGAAAAUGUAAUAAAGACAGGGGCACAUUAAUCUACUUUGUAUGAAAAUGUGGAAAGGUAAUCCAAUUUUGAACUGCUUGCUCUUACAAAAUAUACAUAAGUUUGUAUGAUUUCUGCAUCUUAGUUGGGGAGAUGGUAGUCAAUCCUAAAGAGUUAUAUUUCAGGUAAAGAGUCCUCAGUCCCUUACAUGUAUGCACAGAGGUAGUGGCCCAUACUGAGAAAUAAAGAUGGGGACUCUGGGGAAUGAGUUGCCUGAUGGUCUAUUGGAAGCCUCUAUAUCUGGCAAUAUUCAGGGGUGUUCAUUCCUGUAGGUCUUAGAGAGAGAUUCCAAUAUUAGGGAUGCUGUUGUGUCUUCCCCUGCAUAGCCCCUAAGGCUAGUUCAUAUGAAAAGUAAAUCUGACUCUGCUCCCUAAAAACAAAGAUGAAAAAUCCAUAGAAGGGAGGUAGAUUCAGCUAGAAAGUGUAUUUCUAGCAGGGGAGUUGGUGUGAGGGAGAGAAUAGUUAUGAUGAAGUCAGGCUUGUCUUAAACCACAUCUGAUGUCAUUCCAAUCACUGUGUGUGUCUGCACUUGUGGGUUGUCUGCAUGGCAUGCAUGAAUGUUGAUGCAUCUGCAGUGCUCUCACCCAGCAGAGAAGCAUAGAGAAAUGUGAGCUCUGGACUUAAAGAGCGCUGAGUGUUAAUCUCACUUUCUAUUUGCUCUGCGACAUGACUAGCAGUCCAACUCCUCUGAAUCCCAGUUUCUUUUUCAGUGAAACAGAGAUUGUACUAGUUAUCUCUUAGGAUUAGUAGAAAUACAGGACCCAGAAAUUCUAUUCUUAGAUAUCUACCCAAGAUAAAUACAAACAAAACAUAGGCAAAUGUGUACAAAAACUUGUACAUGGAUGUUCAUAGCAACAUUAUUCACUAUAGAUAAAAGGUGGAAACAACCCAAAUGUCUAUCAACUGACAAAUGCAUAAACAAAAUGUGGCUUAUUAUUGAAAUAAACAAUGGAAAAUUAUUCAGCCAUUAAAAGGAAUGAAGUACUGACGCAUGCUACAGCAUGAAUUUGCCUUUAAAACAUUAUGCUAAGUGAAAGAAUCUUGUCACAAAAGACCACAUAUAUGAUCCCUUUGUAUGAAAUGUCCAGAAAACAGAAAGAUGUAGUGACAGAAAUGAGAUUCAUGGUUGGCCUAAAUUUUUUUCAGUAAAAGCAGCUUUCCUUCCUGUUUGAGGAGGAUCGUUUCUUCUUUCUUGUGAACUUAUACUGGUUUUCCUGCCAUGUUCUUUCCUUACAAGGGCUUCUGAUUCUCCUAAGGACAUAUCUCCACCACGGUUUUUCUCUUCCUCAGCUAUAACCAGUAUCACAUCCUAGCAAGUGACUCCCAGAAGAUGAGGUUCACAAAAGGACCUAUAAAAAAUUAUAGUACACACCAAAAUAAUUGCAUGAUUUUUCCAAUUUAUAUAAAUAGAAUCCAUGUGUGUGGGAAUAGAUCCUAAGGCUGUUGGAUAAUGGUGAAAGGAAUAUAUAUAAUAUUGGACUGAGGAUCUGGGAAUAAUCCUACUAGCUUGUUUGCUAGGUUGACUAAAAGCUGGACAUGAAAUUGACCUAAAUUAUGUUAAAUGGAAAUGCUAAAAAUCCCCUGGCAUAUUGUAAAGGAAAAUAUCUAUUGGCUUAAGAAAACUAGGAUGCUAGAGUGGAUGUUAUUAAGUAAAAACAUGCCUUGUUAGUAUAUCCCCUAGAGGACUCAUUCUUCACUAAUGCUAUGAAAAAUAUAUUGAUGAGCAGUCCCCUUGCAUCCUUGAAGAACUCUCUGAUAGAUCCAUUAACUACAUGAGGA
rnacentral:lncRNA from 10 species